UACAGAGGGUGCAAGCGUUAAUCGGAAUUACUGGGCGUAAAGCGCACGUAGGUGGCUGGGUAAGUUGGAUGUGAAAUCCCCGGGCUUAACUUGGGAAUUGCAUUCAAGACUGCUUUGCUAGAGUGUGGAAGAGGGAAGCGGAAUUCCAGGUGUAGCGGUGAAAUGCGUAGAUAUCUGGAGGAACACCGGUGGCGAAGGCGGCAUCCUGGACCAACACUGACACUGAGGAGCGAAAGCCAGGGGAGCAAACGGG
rnacentral:rRNA from 1 species